GAUGAACGCUGGCGGCGUGCUUAAUACAUGCAAGUCGAACGGACAGGCCCUGCUCUUGUUGGGUUCUCGAGAGGCGAACGGGUGAGUAUCACGUGAGUAAACUCCCCUUGUCAUUCGGAUAACACCAGGGAACUGGGGAUCAUAUCCGAUAGAAGAUACUGCUCCGUGGUGGUGGUUGGAAAGUUUCGGCGGUUGGGGAUGGACUCGCGGCUUAUCAGCUUGUUGGUGGGGUAGUGGCUUACCAAGGCUUUGAGGGGUAGCCGGCAUGAGAGGGUGACCGGCCACAGUGGGACUGAGAUACGGCGCAGACUCCUACGGGAGGCAGCAGUGGGGAAUAUUGCACAAUGGGCGGAAGCCAGAUGCAGAAACGCCGCGUGCGGGAUGACGGCCUUCGGGUUGUAAACCGCUUUCGCCUGUGACGAAGCGUGAGUGACGGUAAUGGGUAAAGAAGCACCGGCUAACUACGUG
rnacentral:rRNA from 1 species